rnacentral:rRNA from 1 species
AUUGAACGCUGGCGGCAGGCCUAACACAUGCAAGUCGAACGAGUGGCGGACGGGUGAGUAAUGUGUGGGAAACUGCCUGUUGGAGGGGGAUAACCACUGGGAAAGGUAGCUAAUUCCGCAUACCCUCGGAUGUGCCCAGAUGGGAUUGUCUAGUGGGUGGGGUAAGGGCUCACUUAGGCGACGAUCCCUAGCUGGUCUGAGAGGAUGACCAGCAACACUGGAACGGAGACACGGUCCGGACUCCUACGGGAGGCAGCAGUGGGAAAUAUUGCACAAUGGGCUCAAGCCUGAUGCAGCCAUGCCGGGUGGAUGAAGAAGGCCUUCGGGUUGUAAAGUACUUUCAGCGGGGCGGCGUUACCCGCAGAAGAAGCACCGGCUAACUCCGUGCCAGCAGCCGCGGUAAUAC